rnacentral:lncRNA from 1 species
UUGUGGAUAAUAAUUUUGUUGAAUUUUGACAUGUGAUAAGUAAUUCAUAUUAUUAUGUCCUUAAAAAUAUGACUAAUUUUUUGUAUGAUUGUUUGUUUUUGAGAUUAGGAUUUGGGAUUAAUUUGUGUGGUUUUUUCUUGGCAGCAAACAAGCUGAUGACCUCCAAGGACCGCAAGUAUGUUCAAAUUAACAUUGGGCAUUUGGAUGAGCAUGGCUCCUACCAAGUUAAAUCUGGAAAAAGCUUGCAAUUGAUUUCUCUGCUGGAUUGUCAUGGAUGAAGAAAAUGACGUCAUAGUUAUGGGGAUAGGUUUAUUUCUUGCAUUUCUUUCACUUAAUUUUAUAUCAAGUAUAAUUUUACUUUUUCUAGGUGAUUGUCUAUGUAAUUUUUAUUUGAUUGUUAAUUGGCACUAUAUGUGCUCAGCUCUAGCUCCAUUGGCUGGAACCAGUCCGAGAACUUGGACGUCGUUCGGUUUCUCUGAACCGGUCUGGAACCAGUGAAGAACUGGACCGCUGGAGCUGGUCUGGUCAUGGUAUGGGAGUGCGAGAGCUCGACCGGGUUAGCGUGGCCCACCUGGCCUUGGGCUACGCUGGACUUAGACCCUGGUUGCUUUUGGCGCUGUUUGGGCCGGCUCAUCAAGGCCUAGGUUCGGUAUUGAGUUGUGGUUCUAGCUGCUUCUGUAGUGGCUUGGGCAUGCUUUAGCUCGGUGGUGCGGGCUUGGCUCGCUACUGCUCUACAGCGUGGACC